rfam:Allomyces macrogynus ATCC 38327 genomic scaffold supercont3.45, whole genome shotgun sequence.
AUCCUUGUGCAAGGACGGACCCCGUGGAGUGAAGUUUCGACUGACCAGGGGAAUUGCUGAUUGCAAACUGCUCCUUAAUCCUUCCACAGGCUUCGGUUCUGUGGGGAAUUUUUGGACUUCCCGAAC